rnacentral:rRNA from 1 species
CCUACGGGGGGCAGCAGUGGGGAAUAUUGCACAAUGGGCGCAAGCCUGAUGCAGCCAUGCCGCGUGUGUGAAGAAGGCCUUCGGGUUGUAAAGCACUUUCAGCGGGGAGGAAGGCGGUGAGGUUAAUAACCUCAUCGAUUGACGUUACCCGCAGAAGAAGCACCGGCUAACUCCGUGCCAGCAGCCGCGGUAAUACGGAGGGUGCAAGCGUUAAUCGGAAUUACUGGGCGUAAAGCGCACGCAGGCGGUCUGUCAAGUCGGAUGUGAAAUCCCCGGGCUCAACCUGGGAACUGCAUUCGAAACUGGCAGGCUAGAGUCGUGUAGAGGGGGGUAGAAUUCCAGGUGUAGCGGUGAAUGCGUAGAGAUCUGGAGGAAUACCGGUGGCGAAGGCGGCCCCCUGGACAAAGACUGACGCUCAGGUGCGAAAGCGUGGGGAGCAAACAGGAUUAGAUACCCGGGUAGUC